UUACAGCUGCACCGUCUUUACUUCGUGAUGGAAGUGUUCAAUCUUCAACCAUAUUGAGGGUUGGUCGAGACAGAUGGAAACACACAGCGAUACCACCGUAAGUGGGACCGUUGAAAUGCUUUGGUAGACCUGGAAUUAGUAUCCCACUAAUCAUCUCUCAUGAAGGUUGUUGCAGUUGGUGUUCUGAGACAAAUGGAUGGGACACAGUGAUACCACCGAAAGUGGAACGGUUGAAAUGAAUUGGUGGAAUCAGAAGUCAGCCUCCCACUAACCAUCUCUUGUGAAGAUACAAGUCAGUAGAUGGCAUAAGCAAGAACAGAGCAUUUUAAAUUUCAUUUGAAAGCAAGGAAGUUCUAAAUGUUCAUUCUAAAACGAGAUUACCAUAGAUGAAGUCCACUCAAAUUGAGAACUUGUGACAACAUAAUCCUCAGCAUUAUCUUCAUAGGUUUCAUCUGAAAUUGACCAGUAACCAAUUGUAUAACCUCUCAUCUUCAUUAAGGUUCUUACAAUUGCACCAUCUAUUCCAUGAUGAAAGUAUUCACUCUUUAACAAGAUUGCCGAUGUAUUGAGAGUUGAGCGAGAGAGAUGGAUGGGACACAGUGAUUUACUGAAUGUGGAACGGUUGAAAUGGAUUGUGGAAUCGAAAGUGUGCCUCCCACUAACCAUCUGUCAUGAAGAUUCUCUCCUGUACACCAACCUCACAAUGUAUUCUUUUACAUUUUUUGGAGGGUAAUGCUGCGUUGAUGACUUCUCGGUGUCCCAGUUAGUACAACACAAUGUAAACCUUGGUGUGACAAGGCAUAGCCAGCCAUGAGGUAUG